AUGGCGGACGGGUGGAGUAACGCGUAAGAAACUUAGCCCUUUACGUACUGGGAGUAACAAGAGGGAAACGUUACUGAUAAUACUGGAUAAGUUAGUAUAUCGCAUGAUAUGCAAAUGAAAGCUACGGCACUAAAGGAGAGCUUUGCGUCCUAUUAGCUAGUUGGUAAGGUAAGAGCUUACCAAGGCGAUGAUAGGUAGCCGGCCUGAGAGGGUGGACGGCCACAAGGGGACUGAGAUACGGCCCUUACUCCUACGGGAGGCAGCAGAG
rnacentral:rRNA from 1 species